CCUGUGGCGGGCCGGGUGCAAUGCAUGCUGUACGGUGUUUCCUCCGACACAUUGGUGUGGCUGGCUUCCAGGUUGGAUGGGCAUUGUGUCAAGAAGCAGUGCAGCUCGCCUCUCCUGAGUCCGUACGGGAGUUGUAGCGAUGAGACAAGACUGUAACUACUACCAAUUGGAUACCAUGAUAUUGCGGAGAAAAAAAGGGGUGAAAAAUACAACAACAAAAAAGGAAAAAAAAGACCUCUUAACAAGGGGAAACUCUAGUUUCUUACCUCCCAAAGAGGAACAAGAAUGUGGUCCUCCUGAGCACACUGCACAAAAUGGCUGAGAUCAGUGAUCGUGAGGACAGGAAGCCAGCCAUCAUCCUGGACUACAACCACAGGUGUGGAUAACCUGGACAAGGUGAUUGGAACUUACAGCUGCAGAAGGAUGACUGCCCACAUCUUCCAUAACAUCAUUGAUGUGUCCUCAUACAAUGCUUUCGUGAUAUGGAACAAGAUCAACCCUACCUGGAUGCCUGAUAAGCGGAACAAGAGGGGGGUGUUCCUGGAGCAGCUGGGAAAGGCACUUGUAACCCCACACAUUCAAAGAAGGGAGCGCCUCCCUCGCACAGCAGCCUCUGCAGCGCUUGUGAAAGCUGUUCAAGGGGCUGAAUCUUGUCCUGAUCCACCUGAGGCUGCAGCUGGGGCAGGCAAGAGGAGGAGAUGCCAAUUCUGGCCCCCAAAGAAGGACUGUAAAACAAUUAUGACAGGUGUGUUGUAAUAAAAACAAGUGGUGUCCACUGAUUAAAUGCAGUCUUUCAUUGUGAAGAGGGAAAACCCAGAUAUUCACAAAGUUUGUGAUGAAUGACAGAUUGUUUCUUCAUGCAAAAUAGAUUUGGGGUUUAAAAUUCAAUUAAGCUGUUUAGUAUUUUUUUAUCCUUAUGACAAGGACAAGGAGAGUACACAGAAUGUUAACACUACACAAGGGUUAAAGUGCUAGUGCUGUGCGGAAAACAAAAUGUGACUUUGCCAUGGCCAUAGUGGACUAAUCUUGCAAGCUUUCCAGGUUGAAGAACAAGUGCAAGGUUAAAACUUCAGAGGGAAAGAGAAAUGGAUACAGGCGACAGUAAUCUGGAGACUGGGAACUGUGACUUACCACAUUUAGGACGGACCGAGAAAACGCACUGUUCAUGUGGACCACAUGUUGCCGUGGAAAGGUGCAACAGGACUACUUACCUGAGGACAGAGAACUGGCAUCCCACGAUAUCCAACAGACAACUCUAUUCCUGACCGCUCACCAACGUUCCCGGAAAGCAACCUCAGCCCAAGUCAAGUUGCUUAGCCAGCACUGGAAACUGGAAACCUAUCAACUCGAGCUACAGUGAACUCAGAGUGCCACAAGGCAGCGAGAGCACAGGUACCCUGAAAAGAGACAUUCUUAUUUCAGUUGUUGAAGUUUAUUGAAAAAAAUAAACAAAAAUGUAAGCUGUCGACAUUUGUUGAUUUAUGUUAAAAAGAAGGGGGCAUGUUACAGGGUAAAAUCUUAAAAGUGCAAUAUGCAGACAUUACUCCGCAAUUUCCUGGUUGCUGAAACUCAAAUAGUUGGUCUAAUUUCAGUUUAUGUGACAAAACUGUCACACCUUGAUCUGUUUCACCUGUCUUUGUGCUUGUUUCCACCCCCCCUCCAGGUGUCGCCCAUCUUCCCCAUUAUCCCCUGUGUAUUUAUACCUGUGUUCUCUGUUUGUCUGUUGCCAGUUCGUUUUGUUCAUGAAACCUACCAGCAUUUGUUCCUCAGCUCUUGCCUGUUUCUUGCUCCUGUUUUCUAGUCCUUCCCGGUUCUGACCGUUCUGCCUGCCCUGAGUCUGCCUGCCGUUCUGUAACUUACCCAACCUUACUGGAUUAUUGACCCCUGCCUGCCCUGACCCUGAGGCUGCCUGCCGUUCUGGACUCUUUGCACGCUCUCUGGAUUAUUGACCCCUGCCUACCUUUGACCUGUCGUUUGCCUGCCUCUGUUUUAGAAAUAACCUUUUCUUUCUUCGACACUGUCUGCAUCUGGGUCAUACCUGAAAUCUGAUAGCCAUGUUGCUGUGGGGAACCAGUCGAAAUCUCUCCGGGUCCUCAUCGACUCUGAGGCCAAUGAGAGCUUUAUAUAUGCUACCCUGGCUUCCAAGCUGGAUUCAGCCCCUUUCUAUUCCAAUGGACGUUAGGGCACUGGACGGGCACUCUAUAGGCUGGGUCACCCACAAUACUGGAUCACCCGCCAUCGAUAAGAGACAAUACUGUGCAGCUGUAUUCAUUGACCUGGCCAAGGCUUUCGACUCUGUCAAUCCCCACAAUCUUAUCAGCAGACUCAACAGCCUUGGUUUCUCAAAUGACUGCCUCGCCUGAUUCACCAACUACUUCUCAGACAGAGUUCAGUGUGUCAAAUCGGCUGGCCUGUUGUCCGGACCUCUGGCAGUCUAUAUGGGGGUGCCACGGGGUUCAAUUCUCGGGCCGACUCUUUU
rnacentral:lncRNA from 1 species